AUGCAGGGCUUGAACCCAUGAACCAUGAGAUCAUGAUCUGAGCCGAAGUCAGACGCUUAACUGACUGAGCCACCCAGGUGCCCCUAUUGGUUAUUAUUAAGAGUUAAAUAACAUUGGGCAAGUUACUUAACCUCUCUGUGUUGCUGUCUUCUCUAAUGUAACAUGGGAACGAUGUUAAUAUUAUUAUGUGAAGUAAAUGUGUUCAUAAUAUAAAAUCCUUAGACUACUACUUGGCACAAAGUUUACAUAGUGAGCAUGCUGUAAGCACUAUUAAUACUUGGUUUGAUGAAGGAAAUGAAAACGUUCAUAGGAUAAACAUUGUCUUCAAGAAGUUUAUAUUCUAGUGAAGAGAAUGACCAUAUGAACAAUGAUCAUGCAAAGCAGUAAAUGCUAUAUAGAUGUAUAUGUGGCAAACUUUGAGAAGUCAUGGAAGUCUUUGCGGAGGAGGUGACAUUUCUGCAGUUUUGGAUAUUUUAGGCAAAUAAUCAGGAGGAUUCCUGGCAAUGUGAAGGGAAUAUCCCAAGGCUGGUGGUUGUCAGACCAAAUGCAUGGUGUACUGAGGACCAUCAGUAUUUACCCCAAAAUAGCAAGAGUAAGAGAAACACACACUCGUCUUCUGAAGAAACCAAGAGGUAUGUUGCCCAGACCAUAGCAUAUGAAGAAGGAAUGUGUAUGGAGGAAAGAGUAAUGAAUUAGCAGGUCAGAGGAAGAUCAAGUCUAAGUGUCUGCAGAGAGAGACAUUGGUAAGAGAAAUUUGCCAAUUUGCUCCCAGAAUCUCUAGAACACUGAAGAAUGGAGGACACUGUAAAAGGCUGAGAUGAGAUAGAGGAACCUAAAAAUGAGAUCAUGUCCCCCCUCCACUCACUGUCAGUAAUUGCCUCUGCCAAAGGAACUUACUUUCUGGAGAAAAUUGAAAUAAAGAGUCCCUGGACAGUAAGGGUGAAACUCAGGGGGGAAAAAAAAGGUCAGAAUAAAAUGUUCCACUGGAAUGGUAAGACUUGGAAGUUCCAGAAUACUAGCAGUUUGGCUCAUGUAUCUUAGACAAUCCUGUAGAGAAAUUGAACAACCUAUACAGAUAGUGGUAUUUGGAGAUCCCAAACCACAUGUCCAACUGACCACUCCAGUAACCCUACUGUAGCGCCAUUUAGUGCCUAAGUCCCACUUACCUAGAACUUCCAGAAGCAUUUUUGUAUUUCACUUUCAAAAGUAAGUGGACAUAAUAAAAAACUGGAAGCAACCCAAAUAUCCAUCAGUAGUAGAAUGAAAAAAUAAAUUAUAGCAUAUACUUAUAAUGAAACCCAACACAAUUUUUUUAAAUGAAUUACUGAUAUACACACAACAUGGAUGAAUCUCAAAGACAUUAUGUUGCAUAAAAGAAGCCAGGCACAGAAGAGUGCAUACGGUGUAUGAAAUCAGAAUAGGCAAAACUAAUCUAUGGUGGUUAUGCAUGGGGAGAGGGGAGAUAUUAAUUGGAAAUAACCACUAGGAAUUCUUUUAGGUGAAGGAAAUGUCCUAGAUCUUGAUCUGAGUGUUGUUCACAUGGCUGUAUACAUAUGUGUAACUAUUUAGCUAUACACUUAUUUAUGCAUUUUAUAUAAGUUUUAAAAAAUAAUAAAUAUACAAAUUGAGAUUCACCAGACAUUUGAGGAAAGUCUAAAUGCAGAGACCAAAGACUGAGUGCCAUAAAGGCAGUAAUCUUUGUUCUGAUGUAUCCCAAGCACCUGGAAAAGUACCUGGCAUAUGAUAGUUUCUCAAUGCAUAUUGAUUAACUGAAUGAAUGAAAACAAGAACACAAAAACCAAAGAGAAAAUAGGACCUCAGAAAAGCCAGAGAUAAAUACAAAACAAAGUUCCAGAAUAAUUGUUAUCCUCCCAGAGGUAACAAGAUAUUCCAUUCAUUAAAAAAAAAAAAAAAAA